AUGGUACUCCCUCCGUCCCAAAAUUCUUAUCUUAUAUUUAUCUAGAACGUGACUUGAUACAUCCGUAUUUAGACAAAUCUAGGACAAGAAUUUUGGGACAGAUGGAGUAUAAU
rfam:Triticum aestivum genome assembly, contig: Triticum_aestivum_CS42_TGACv1_scaffold_250069_3DL